CUAUUUUUUCACAGAUCCUGGUGAUUUUUACCCGAAAAAAUUCCAGCUUUGGUAAUUAAACCCUGGUGAAAGAAGCGCGAUUGAAGUAGGCCGAAAAUCAAACGUUACAUAUCAACCAUGAAAACUUUGUACUUGAUCAUUUUGGCAGUUAUGAUUGUAUCGGUAACGUCACGUUCUAUUGAGCAAGAAAAUGACGUGGAGCGAUUCUUCAAUGUUGUAGCCAGAGACCCCUGUCGUGACC